rnacentral:SRP_RNA from 1 species
GCCAGGCAUGGUGGCGCGUGCCUGUAAUCCCAGCUACUCAGGAGGCUGAGGCAGGAGAAUUGCUUGAACCUAGGAGGCAGAGGUUGCAGUGAGCCAAGAUCACACCACUGCACUCCAGCCUGGGUGACAGAGUGAGACUCCGUCUCAA